UACGAAGGGGGCUAGCGUUGUUCGGAAUUACUGGGCGUAAAGCGCACGUAGGCGGUUCGUUAAGUCUGUCGUGAAAUCCCCGGGCUCAACCUGGGAAUGGCGAUGGAUACUGGCGAGCUAGAGUGUGUCAGAGGAUGGUGGAAUUCCCGGUGUAGCGGUGAAAUGCGUAGAGAUCGGGAGGAACAUCAGUGGCGAAGGCGGCCAUCUGGGACAACACUGACGCUGAAGCACGAAAGCGUGGGGAGCAAACAGG
rnacentral:rRNA from 1 species